rnacentral:rRNA from 1 species
AGUGAACGCUGGCGGUAGGCCUAACACAUGCAAGUCGAACGGCAGCACAGUAAGAGCUUGCUCUUACGGGUGGCGAGUGGCGGACGGGUGAGGAAUACAUCGGAAUCUACUUUUUCGUGGGGGAUAACGUAGGGAAACUUACGCUAAUACCGCAUACGACCUACGGGUGAAAGCAGGGGAUCUUCGGACCUUGCGCGAUUGAAUGAGCCGAUGUCGGAUUAGCUAGUUGGCGGGGUAAAGGCCCACCAAGGCGACGAUCCGUAGCUGGUCUGAGAGGAUGAUCAGCCAAACUGGAAAUGAGACACGGUCCAGACUCCUACGGGAGGCAGCAGUGGGGAAUAUUGGACAAUGGGCGCAAGCCUGAUCCAGCCAUACCGCGUGGGUGAAGAAGGCCUUCGGGUUGUAAAGCCCUUUUGUUGGGAAAGAAAAGCAGCAGGUUAAUACCCCGCUGUUCUGACGGUACCAAAAGAAUAAGCACCGGCUAACUUCGUG